AAGUUGCAGUCUCUAUAGCAACCGCACCCGAUCUGUGUCCGCUCUGCAUCGCACGCCGCCGCCGCUCGCUGGCGCCCUCACCCUCUCGCACGCCGCCGUCCCCUCGCUCUUCCCUCGCACGCCGCCGCCGCCCUGCCAUCUGCUACACCACCGUGGCCGCCGCCGCCGGCCUGCCCUAUCCUACAGCACCGCCGCCGCCGCCCUGCCCUCGCCGUCGCCUGACGCGGCGGCCUCCCUGCCCUCGGCGUCGCCUGCCGCUGCGGACUCCCUGCCCGUGCCCUCGCAGCCGCCUUCUCCUCCGCUCUCACCGCCCUCCGUCGCUUACCGCAAUCCUAGCUCCACCGUCGUCCCACCCCUACCCAGGCCUGCGCGGCUCCCCUCCCCCAGCCCAGCAGAGAGCAUUUUCAGGUUGGAGCAGCGACAACGCAGUCUGCUAAUCUUGGUGGUGGCUGGUUAUUCUGCAACCAAGACACAAGAAAGUGUCACAACGAAGAGGAGGGAAUGCUGGGUGCUGAGUACAAUGUAAUUGUUAGGAAGGUGUUUGAUGAUGAAGAAGGAUACAAGUUUUAUAACAACUAUGCUAAGGGGAAAGGAUUUAGUGAGGAAAGACUAUUGUGAGUGGGACAUUGGCCACAAUGAGAGGACUCUUCGUCAUUUUGUUUGCAGUUGUCAAGGUUUCCGUGAAGAGAAGGAGCUGAAGAGGGAGAAUAAGAAGCGGAAGCCGCGGAAUAUUACUCGGUUUGGAUGCCCUGCUAAGCUUGUGAUUGCACGAGAUCAGAACACUGGUCAGUGGCAUGUGAAGGAUUUCAUCUGCGAACACAACCAUCCGAUGGUGGAACAAGAUCUUGCUUGUCUUCUGCGGUCACAUAGAAGAAUCAGAGAUGAGCAGAAAGCUGAUAUUGUGGCGAUGCAGAUAUCUGGGAUCCGCAAACACCAGAUAAUGGAUAUCAUGGAAAUGCUUUAUGGUGGGUAUGAUAAGGUUGGAUUUACAAGAAGGGACCUGUAUAAUUUCUAUCAUCGCAAUAAGGUGGACACAGUUGCUGCUGGAGAUGCUCAAACAGUCAUCAGUUACCUGACAGAAUGCAGACGUAGGGAUCCUGAUUUCUUCUUUGACUACAAGACUGAUGAGAAGGGACACCUCAAGGGACUCCUCUGGUGUGAUACCCAAAGCCGGCUUGAUUUUUCAGCAUUUGGGGAUGUCGUAAUUUUUGACAGCACGUACAAAACGAAUCGGUAAAACAUGCCCCUUGUUCCUUUUGUCGGGGUGAAUCAACAUGGCAGCACAGUUCUUUUUGCAUGCGGAGUUACUUCCCGGGAGACGAUUGAGGCAUAUGUGUGGAUGCUUAAAACAUUCACUGAGGCCAUGGCUCAGAAGCAUCCGGUUUCUGUGAUCACUAAUGGAGACCUUGCUAUGCAGAGAGCAAUCGAGCUGGUGUGGCCGAAUUCAUCGCAUAGGCUAUGCAUAUGGCAUAUUGAGCAGUGCAUUGUGCGUAAUCUUCACGAUGAUGGUGUCAAGGAUGACUUGAGGCAUUUCCUUUAUGAUUGUUGCUCCAUAGAAGAGAUUGAGAGAAAAUGGCUCCAAUUCAUGGAUAAGCAUAAAGUUACGGAUACAGAGUCGUGGGUGUAUCAGAUGUAUGAGAGGAGGCAGGUCUGGUGUGCUGCGUAUCAUGUUGGAAAGUGCUAUUUAGGAUUGAGGAGCAACUAGCGGAGUGAGAGCCUAAACUCUAGGCUUCAGGUAAAUCUCGAUCGUAAAAUGACACUGUUUGAGCUGGUAGAGCACUUUGACCACUGCCUUUCACGGCUGCGCGUUAAUGAAGCGAUUCUAGACCUUGUAGCAAUGAGUUCUGUGCCAUGCUUAGAACCAAAUGCUUCAAUUAUUGAGAAAGAGGCUGCAAAAUCGUUCACACCAAGUGUUUUUGCAACGGUGCAGUUCAGCAUAAAAGCAGCCAAAAAGUGUUUUGCCAUAGAAAUUGAAGAUGAUGGCUAUGAAACAAUUAAGUAUAUUGUUGGCAGGGAGGACAAAGGAGACAGAGAAUACUAUGUGGAAUGUGAGAUAUGUGUUGAUGAAGGCAAUCUGAAGGGAAUUCGUUGUUCUUGUCUUAAGCUACAGUCUCUUGGAACUCCCUGCUCGCACAUCUUCUUUGUAUUGGGCGAUCUUAAAGAACAGCGGAUUCCAAAGUGCUGUGUUUUGAGAAGGUGGACAAGGGGGGCCAAGAGUGCAUUUCCUCCAAUAAGGAAGAGCAGCAUGUAUGACUACACGGAUAGCGUACAGAAAUACCGUGAGCUAUGCAAUAUCGGUCACAGUGCAUCCUUCGUAGCUUCUCGUUCACCUGAAGCAUAUGAGCGGCUCAAGCACGUUCUCGAAGAGGAAGCUACUAUGAUGCUACCAAAUGGAGGGGAGAAUGCAGGCAAGAGGUACGGUCCUGUGCUGCUGCAAGCCGUCGAUGUUGAUUCUACAGAGUCCAGAGAUGUCAUGGAUCCCAUGUAUGUUCCUGGCAGAGGGGCCCCGAAGAAAAAGUUGAAGUCAAAUAAGAAUAAAUCUAAGAGGAAAUGUACCCUGUGCAAGGGUGAGGAUCACGAUCGGCGAAGAUGCUCCAUGAGAGAAGAGGAAACAAAACUCCCUGAAGAUGUGCCGGAUUUAUGAUUUGACAAGGCUGCAAGGAUGAUAAUAAGCUAAGAGAAGAGAGCAGAAAUACCACCCAGGAGUGGGAUAAAUUACAACAAGAAAUGCAGGAUAAGUUCGGCAGGCAAUCAAAUGGAGGCGCUUGGGAUUUGUUCAAACGGCAAAUGUGGUGGCACUGCACGCUGGGAAUUUGUUUCGUGACUAAAAUAAUGGCGGAUUAGUUUGUGUAGAUGCCUGCUUUCCCUUGCUGUUUUUUUUGCUGAGUUGUGUAGUAUGAACCAUGUAAUCCGAAUAGUUGGGAACUUGUUUCGUGACUAAAAUAGUUGGAGUUAAUGCGAAUUACUUGAUGUUAAUCAUUAGCACUAA